GAGGCACCGGCGAGAGGCACGACAAUAGACCACAUUAGGGCCUUCCCAUAAAAGGCAAAUGUGGUUGCACUGGAAAAAGCCCGGUUCGGUGGCACCUGACCAAAUUAAUGACGGAAUUUAACCCCAAAAUAUAAUAGUAAUGACUGAUACUCCGAUAUCAUCUAUCAACCUAUAAUCCAAGUCAUAGCAAUAUCCAACAAAUAAUCCAAGCAUAAUCUCAUCAUCUCAAAAUACUCCAAGGGUAGCACAACACUACUGUCAUGAUGAAUCCGAAAACAAUAAUCCUACUACUCCAAUAACAA